ensembl:lncRNA
CCGACAGUUGCACUGGUAUUGGCCACAAUAUGUUGAUGUAAUUGAUUUAAACAGAGAACAUCUCAGCUUCAUUCAGCUAGAAGAUGACGCAGUCUUCUUUCCUGGUGCACCAGACAGCGCGUUUGGCACGUUUUUCAUUGCUCUUAUGGCCUAUGGUUUAACGUCUCAUGUUUCUUUGCUUCCAGCUACUCUCCUCUCCAGAUUUAGCUUUGGAAUACUGAUGCUGAAUGGGAAAUGUCUGCAGUCCAACCUGAUUUGGCAGAUUCUUUUAGGAAGGGAGUCCAGUUGCCAGCAUUGCAGUUUAUAUUGUGCAGGUGUGUCUCGUUCCUCUCUUAUUAUCCUGUCUUUAAAAGCCCUAGUCUAGGGAUCCUCAAAUCUGGACCACGAGAUCCACUUUCCUGCAGAGUUUAGCUCUAACCCUAAUCAAACACACCUGAGCAAGCUAAUCAGUGUCUUCAGGAUCUUUAGAAAAUCACAGGUAGGUGAGGUUGAUCAGGGUUGGAGCUAAACUCUGCAGUGCAUUGGACCUCCAGGGUAAGAUUUGAGGAACCCUGCCCUACUCCAUUCAGUUCUUGUUUGUUGGGUCUACUUGUUGCUACGUGUGUUUCCUGUGAUUCCCUGUGUUAGAUGUACCGUGUCUCCUCGUUCCUCUCUACACAGAGACUGACAGUUUGUUUGUUUUUUUACUUAUUUAUUUUAUUUACUUUUGAAAAGAUGCCAUUGUUCCACUUUUAUUUAAUUAUUUAUUUUUGGUAAGACACCAUUCCACUUUUAAAAAUGUUACUUAAAGACCUCUAUUUUCCCCUUUUCCUUUCUCUGUCAAGAUGUUUUUGACCACAAGAACAAGUCAUACAUAAAGCAGGUAAAUCCAACACUAGACUAAUUGUAUACUGCAUUUUUGGCAACCAAUCGGCAAGUUAAUUUAGAAAAUAUGCAGUUUUGCACAUUCCUAGCAGACAGAGUGGCCAUGCUCCAUUUUAUCUGUGCAUUGGCCAUUUCUGUGAGAACUUUGAUAGAUGAGGCGUACGAUUAUACCACAACUGUCUUUAGUCUCCUGUGAGAUCCUCAUUUGCCAGCUCAUUUCCCGAAUCAUGCUUUUUAAGGUAACAUGAAAUUUCCCUCUCUCAAUUAACAAACAUCAAAGUGAUAUGUUAAAAUGAUAUUUGACCACUGUAUCUCAUUUCAAAGGGCAAGCGUCUGCACACAUGCACGUUCCUCCGUCUGGUUUCAUUUACUUUAGAAGCCUUUCCCUCCUCCCUUGUGUAUCUACAACCUGAUAAACAUGUGGUUGGUACUCCUCGACUCUCCUCUCUUCUCCUUCAGCCCGUUUGAAGUUGCUCUUCAAGUUCAUCAAAGAUUCUCAU